UACGUAGGGUGCGAGCGUUGUCCGGAAUUAUUGGGCGUAAAGGGCUCGUAGGCGGUCUGUCGCGUCGGGAGUGAAAACUCAGGGCUUAACCCUGAGCCUGCUUCCGAUACGGGCAGACUAGAGGUAUGCAGGGGAGAACGGAAUUCCAGGUGUAGCGGUGGAAUGCGCAGAUAUCAGGAGGAACACCGGUGGCGAAGGCGGUUCUCUGGGCAUUACCUGACGCUGAGGAGCGAAAGUGUGGGGAGCGAACAGG
rnacentral:rRNA from 1 species